rnacentral:rRNA from 1 species
GAUGAACGCUGGCGGCGUGCCUAAUACAUGCAAGUCGAGCGAACAGAUGAGAAGCUUGCUUCUCUGAUGUUAGCGGCGGACGGGUGAGUAACACGUGGGUAACCUACCUAUAAGACUGGGAUAACUCCGGGAAACCGGGGCUAAUACCGGAUAAUAUUUUGAACCGCAUGGUUCAAUAGUGAAAGACGGUUUCGGCUGUCACUUAUAGAUGGACCCGCGCCGUACUAGCUAGUUGGUAAGGUAACGGCUUACCAAGGCGACGAUACGUAGCCGACCUGGGAGGGUGAUCGGCCACACUGGAACUGAGACACGGUCCAGACUCCUACGGGAGGCAGCAGUAGGGAAUCUUCCGCAAUGGGCGAAAGCCUGACGGAGCAAUGCCGCGUGAGUGAAGAAGGCCUUCGGGUCGUAAAACUCUGUUAUAAGAGAAGAACAAAUUGUAGAGUAACUGCUACAGUCUUGACGGUAUCUUAUCAGAAAGCCACGGCUAACUACGUGCCAGCCGCCGCAGUAA